rnacentral:rRNA from 1 species
UACGAAGGGGGCUAGCGUUGUUCGGAAUUACUGGGCGUAAAGCGCGCGUAGGCGGUGAUCAUGUCAGAGUGGAAAGCCUGGGGCUCAACCCCAGAAUUGCCUUUGAAACGGGAUCGCUAGAGUCCGAGAGAGGAUGGCGGAAUUCCUAGUGUAGAGGUGAAAUUCGUAGAUAUUAGGAAGAACACCGGUGGCGAAGGCGGCCAUCUGGCUCGGUACUGACGCUCAGGCGCGAAAGCGUGGGGAGCAAACAGGG